GCGUAGGAAUCUACCUAAGUGUGGGGGAUAACAUGGAGAAAUUCAUGCUAAUACCGCAUACGCCCCACGGGGUAAAGAGGGCCUCUUCUUGAAAGCUCUUGCAUUUAGAUGAGCCUGCGUCGGAUUAGCUUGUUGGCGGGGUAAUGGCCCACCAAGGCGACGAUCCGUAGCUGGUCUGAGAGGAUGAUCAGCCACACUGGGACUGAGACACGGCCCAGACUCCUACGGGAGGCAGCAGUGGGGAAUAUUGGACAAUGGGCGCAAGCCUGAUCCAGCAAUACCUCGUGUGUGAAGAAGGCC
rnacentral:rRNA from 1 species